rnacentral:SRP_RNA from 1 species
CGUUUGGGUCUCACGCAACAGGAAUCUGUGAACCGUGUCAGGGCAGGAAUGCAGCAGCACUAAGCAGAAGCUCUUGUGUGCCGUGAGGGUGCCUGGGCCGAGU